UUCCAGGACACAGCUAAGUUACUUGGAAACCAUUUAUUUGAUCUUUUCAGGUGUUGUUUGCAAGACUUGUUAGGCAGAACUGGGGUGGUGUUCCACCUAGAAUGAAUUCUGUCCCUCUGUGCAUUCUGGACUCUGUGUACUCUUGUGAAUCCUGACAUCUUCCAGUCCUGCCUCAGGAAAGGCAUUAUUCCUGGCCUUACGUGAUACCUGAUGAAUGGAAGAUGCCUGCAUUAGAGCACUGGGUUAUUUUCAGAGGCUUCAUUAUCUCAGCUGGAAAAUCCUGGGGUAGCUUUUUUGCAAACCAAAUGGAGUUCAAUUAAUGUAUCCAGAGCAAAGGAUCAAGACCUAAAUAUUGAGAGUCAACAUUAGCAAAAGUCUCUCAGCUCCCAGAUGGUCAACUUCAACCUCCUGAAAUGCUCUUAGAAGAGGGGAAACUGAGAUUUUCCUGGAAUGGUGCUUUGAGGCACGGGAAAGAACUAAAAUGAACUCAUCUUAUUGGGUAUCGAUGAAAUCACGGAACCAUGGUUGAGGUUCCAAUAGGUUUCUUCAUCCGUCGGUGUAAAAAACGAGCAGAUAGCAAAGGAUCACCAAACACCUGAGGAAAACUCCAGCAGGUCCGAUGAAGAGCCAAACAGAGACAAAAAAAUAAUAACAACAGGAGAGACAACGAGCACAAAGAAAACAAAGCUAAUGAACCGUCUUCAACACGUAAGAGGAAAAUACAAUAUCCCUAAGAACAAAAUUCCUUUAAAAAGGAACACCCAGAGAGUAAUAAGCUGAAACAUAAUAGCUGAAAUUUAAACACACUAUGUUCAUGAGAAAGGUCCCAAAAAUAUAGUUAAAAAAAAAAAAAAGUGACAGAGGUAAGAGAGAAAGAAACAGACUCAGAAAAAUCAAUCCAGGAGGUCAUCUUUGCAACAGGGGACGCAGGGAGAAAGAAAACCGGGCAGGACAUUGCCAAAUACAUAAUAUGGAAAAAUCUCUGAGACCUCAGAUAUGCGUCUCUUUUGAUUAGUUUACAAACAGGUUUCAAAAUGAAUGAUAAACACCCGUUGCU